GACGAACGCUGGCGGCGUGCCUAAUACAUGCAAGUUGAGCGCUGAAGGUUGGUACUUGUACCAACUGGAUGAGCAGCGAACGGGUGAGUAACGCGUGGGGAAUCUGCCUUUGAGCGGGGGACAACAUUUGGAAACGAAUGCUAAUACCGCAUAAAAACUUUAAACACAAGUUUUAAGUUUGAAAGAUGCAAUUGCAUCACUCAAAGAUGAUCCCGCGUUGUAUUAGCUAGUUGGUGAGGUAAAGGCUCACCAAGGCAAUGAUACAUAGCCGACCUGAGAGGGUGAUCGGCCACAUUGGGACUGAGACACGGCCCAAACUCCUACGGGAGGCAGCAGUAGGGAAUCUUCGGCAAUAGACGAAAGUCUGACCGAGCAACGCCGCGUGAGUGAAGAAGGUUUUCGGAUCGUAAAACUCUGUUGGUAGAGAAGAACGUUGGUGAGAGUGGAAAGCUCAUCAAGUGACGGUAACUACCCAGAAAGGGACGGCUAACUACGUG
rnacentral:rRNA from 1 species